GGCAGAUAUAUCAGUCAACAAGAGGAGAAGACCUCUGUGCUGUGGAAUACCCUGCUUCCUGUGUCUUCACUGAACUCAGCCCAGAGGAAAAAACAAGCACAGAACUGGUCCCUGCAGCUGCUCAGUGGAAUGGAGUAAAACAGACAUAAAACCUUCUGUGAAGACAUCCACACCUUCACAUUCAAAAGUUAAUGCAAAUCGAGGAGCACACCACAGCUGCCCACCUGAAGGAGAGGGCACACCUGAGUGGAGGGACUCUGUUCCAGCCCCACCUGCCACUUCUCCCACCUGAGAAGCUCACCACAGCUGCCGGCCAGAAGGAGGGAGCUGGGCCGAGCUGCUGGAACCUCCUCCGACCUCGUCUGUGACCUUCUUUUGACCUGGAGAGCACCAGCACUACUGCCACUGCCUAGAGGAGGGAGCACCCUGCUGAGGAGGUUUGAGGCCUAGCUAGGCCAUACGGGGACCCUCUAUCAGCCUGGGGAGCUUUGCCAUCCAAGGAGCUGGAUGACUACACAACAUCCAAUCCCUGGGAGAGUAGGAGAUCCUGGCUUUGGUGGGUUGGGAGUCCACUGGGCUUGCAGCCACACUAGACUGGGCUUAGCAGGAUUUGGGAUUGCCUGGAUGACACCAGGUGGCCUUUUUUCCCUCAGGGGAGCUUUGCUACCAGCGGGGGAAACUGUGUAGAUUGAGGAGGCUUUAGGUCUACCUGAGAAGAGCCUGGCAACCCUCUUUUAAUCCAGGGGCUCUGCUCCCCAAGGAGGGAGCUACACUACCAGAGGAGUCCCAAGAGCCCAGGACAUAAGAGACAAUUUCCAACAUGCCCAGGGGAAACUCUGGAACAACAUUUGAAACACGGAAAUACAGGAAAAAGACAAAACGCAAUCUCAAACAUCCAGCCCAUCCCAAGAAAGCCUAGGAGCCAUGUACAUAGAAGAAAAGAUAUGCCAUAUACCUGAAAUACCUGAAACAAUAGUAACCAAAAUAAAGAAGCAACUCCAGGAAGCUUUAAAGGAAUUCAAACUAGAAAUAAUCUCUCAGGUAAAAGAAGAAAUGAUAAAAGAAAUGGAGAUGCUGAACAUAUCUAAAGAAGACACAUAUCUAAAGAAAAAUUGGAGGAACUAAACAAAUAGAUAGGCUCCCUGUGUGAACAAUAUAAGAAACAAACAGAAUAUAUAAAACAGAUGCAAAGAGAUAUACAGGAAAUUAAAAAUUCCAUUGACAGUUGUAAAAACUGCCUCAAUGAAUGUGAAGAUAGAAUUUCGGACCUCGAAGACAAAAUUGUAGCUAGUGAACAGGAAAGGAAAGAUUUUUUAAAAAUAAUAAGAAAUCAAGAAAUAACAGUUCAACACCUGCAAGAUGAUGCAAAGAAAAACAACAUAAGGUUGAUAGGGAUAAAUGAAAAAGAAGGAGACAACAUAAAGGAUGUCAAGAAGAUAUUUAGAGAAGUAAUAGCUGAAAACUUUCCCAAACAUGAAAUUGGAAACUGAUCAAUGAAGGAUCAAUGAAGCAUAUAGAACUCCAAAUAGCCAUAGCCAAAAUAAAACUACACCCAGACAUAUAAUAAUCACUAUCCCAGAAAUCGAACAAAAGAAUGGAAUAUUAUAAGCUGUCAGAGAGAAAAGAUAGAUCACCUAUAAAGGAAAACCUAUCAGAACCACAGCAGACUUCUCAACACAAGCAAUAAGGCAAGAAGAGCAUUGUUUCAGAUACUAAAGGAAAAUGAUUUCCAACCUAGACUGAUGUACUCUACAAAACUGUACUUCAAAAUCAAUGGAGAAAUAAGAUAUUUCCAUGACAAAGAAGAGCUGAAGAACUUCAUAAUCACCAAGCCAAUCCUGCAAAGAAUAUUGAAAGACAGUUUAGAUACACUUAGGAAAAAAACCAAUAAACAAAGCAGACAAUUAAACAGAACAAAAAGAUAAAGAUGCAACAGCAGAAAUAUAACAUGUCAGCAAUAAACCAAUAUAUAAUAGUAAUGACCAUUAACGUAAAAGGUCUCAAUGCACCAAUUAAAAUAAAUAGACUGGCAGAAUGGAUUAAGAAACAAAAUCCAAAUAUACGCUGUCUACAAGAAACACAUCUAACCCAAAAGGAUACUCACAGACUCAAAGUCAAAGGAUGGAAAACAAUACUUCAUGCAACAGGAAACCAAAAAAAAAGUGGGGGUAGCUAUUCUGUUUUCAGACAAUAUGAACUUCAUACCAAUAAUGAUCAGAAGAGAUAAAGAAGGUCACUCCAUACCGGUUACGGGAAAACUUCAAGAGGAAGAGAUAACUAUCUUAAAUAUAUAUGCACCAAAUUCCAGAGCAUCCAGUUAUAUAAAACAAGUAAUAUCAGAAAUGAAAAACCAAAUUAACAGUAAUACAAUUAUAACAGGAGAUUUUAACACAACAUUGACACCAAUGGACAGAUCAACCAAACAGAAAGUCAGCUAAGAAAUAAAAGAACUGAAUCACACCUGUGAACAAAUGGAAUUGAUAGACAUAUACAGAGUAUUCCGCCCAACAACAACAGAAUACACAUUCUUCUCAGCAGUACAUGGGUCAUUCUCUAAAAUAGACCAUAUAUUAACUCACAGAACAUAUUUAAAUAAAUGCAAAAGAGUUGAAAUUAUCCCUUGCAUGUUAUCAGAUCAUAGCGCUAUGAAAUUAGAAAUUAAUGAUAAAAAAUACUGCAAAACUCCCACAAACACAUGGAAACUGAAUAACACACUCUUGAGUAAUCAGUGGGUCACAGAGGAAAUUAAAGAAGAAGUUAAACAAUACCUACAAACAAAUGAAAACACAAAUACAAUUUACUGGAAUCUGUGGGAUGCAAUGAAAGCUGUCCUGAGAGGAAAAUUUAUUGUACUGAGUUCCCACAUCAGGAAAACAGAACAAAUACAAAUAAAUAACCUGAUGCUACCCCACAAACAUCUAGAAAAAGAGGAGCAAGUAAGCCCAAAGCCAAAAGAAGAAAGGAAAUAAUAAAAAUCAGAGCAGAAAUCAAUGCAAUAGAGACUAAGAAAACAAUCCAAAAAAAUCAAUGAAUCAAAGAGUUGGUUCUUUGAAAGAAUAAAUAAAAUCGAUAAGCCCUAGCCAACCCUAUUUUAAAAAGGGAGGAAAAAGCUCAAAUUCAUGCAAUAAGGAAUGCAAAUGGUGAAAUCACUACAGACCCAAUAGAAAUACAGAAGAUCAUCAACACCUAUUUCAAAAACCUCUACUCUCAAAGGUUUGAUAACACAGAAGAAAUAGAUUCCUAGAAGCAUAUGAAGUACCAAAGCUAGGUCAAGAAGAUGUAAAACUGCUCAAUAACCCAAUUUCUAUUAAUGAAGUUGAAAAUGUAAUUAAGUCCUAACCUACAAUGAAAAGCCCAGGCCCAGACGGAUUCACUGCAGAAUUCUACAAGAAAUACAAAGAAGACCUAAUGCUGACACUCCUCAAACUCUUCAAUGAAACUGAAAGGGAAGCAAUCCUUCCUAAGUCAUUCCUGGAAGCAAAUAUUACUCUAAUACCAAAACCUGAGAAAGACCCAACUGAAAAAGGGAACUACAGAUCAGUUUCCCUAAUGAACACAGGUGUAAAAAUCCUCAAUAAAAUACUGGCAAAUAGGAUGCAGCAAAUCAUCAAGAAGAUUAUACACCAUGACCAAGUGGGAUUCAUCCGAGGUAUGCAGGGAUGGUUUAACAUACGGAAAUCAAUAAAUGUAAUCCACCAUAUCAAUAGAGUCAAAAGUAAGAAUCACAUGAUCAUUUCUGUAGAUGCAGAAAAAGCUUUUGAUACGAUACAACAUUCAUUUAUGAUAAGAACCUUGCAGAAAAUCAGAAUAGAUGGCUUUUACCUCAACAUAAUGAAGGCCAUCUAUGACAAACCAACAGCCAGUAUCAUACUAAAUGGCCAAAAAUUGAAGGCCUUUACUUUAAAAUUAGGCACAAGACAAGGAUGUCCUUUAUCACUACUCCUAUUUAAUAUAGUAUUGGAAAUACUAGCCAGAGCAAGUAGACAAUAAAGAGAAAUAAAAGGCAUAAAGAUAGGAAAAGAAGAAGUUAAAUUAUCAUUAUUUGCAGAUGAUAUGGUACUCUACAUAGAAGACCCCCAAAACUCCAUUGAAAGACUCCUAAACAUAAUAAAUAAAUUCAGCAAUGUGGCUGGAUACAAAAUCAAUACUCAAAAAUCAAUAGCAUUCCUAUACACUAACAACCAAAUCACAGAGAGAGAAAUAAGAGAGGCAACAUGCUUCACACUAGCAACCAAAAAAAUGAAAUAUUUAGGAAUUACUCUCACGAAAGAAGUGAAAGACCUACACAGGGAAAAUUAUAAUACACUGAAAAAUGAAAUUGAAGAUGAUAUCAAAAAAAUGGAAAGACAUCCCUUGCUCAUGGAUAGGAAGAAUAAAUAUUGUGAAAAUGGCCAUUCUCCCAAAACUGUUAUACAGAUUCAAUGCAAUCCCGAUAAAAAUACCAUCAACAUACCUCAUAGAUCUUGAGAAAUCACUCCUAAAAUUCAUCUGGAGUGAGAAGAGACCUAGAAUAGCAAAGACAGUUCUAAGCAGCAAAGGCAAGGCAGGAGGUAUCAUAAUCCCUGACUUGAAGAUAUACUACAAAGCAACUGUAGUAAAAUCAACAUGACACUGGAAUCAAAACAGAGCCAAAGAUCAAUGGAAUAGAUUAGAAGAUACAACCACAACUACAAACACACUAAACCACCUUAUAUUUGAUAAAGGGGCCAAACAUGUUCACUGGAAGAAUGAUAGUCUCUUUAAUAAAUGGUGUUGGAAAAACUGGCCCUGCAUAUGCUGAAAACUAAAACUAGACCCAUGCCUAUCACCAUAUAAUACUAAAAUAAAAUCUAAGUGGAUCAAAGAUCUAAAUAUUAAAACAGAAACACUAAAUCUAUUGGAAGACAAAUUGGGUAAAAACCUUGAAGACAGGGGUAGGUAGAGAAUUCAUGAACAAGACUCAAAUCGCACAGGAAAUACUUCCCAGAGUCAAUAAUAGGAUCACAUCUUAUUAAAAAUUUUCUGCACAUCAAAAGAAAUCUCUAACAGUGAAAAGAAAACCCACAAACUGGAAAAAAUCUUAGUGAACUGCCCCUCAGACAAAGGACUUCUGUCUAAAACAUAUAAAGAAUUAAAAAAAAAUCAGACCCCCAAAAUUCAAAGACCCAAUCCAAAAAUGGGCAUCUGAGAUGAAUAAACAAUUUUCAGAUGAAGAAAUACAAACGGCAAAUAAAUAUAUGAAAAAAUUUUCAUCAUCAUUAGUCAUUAGAUAAAUGCAAAUUAAAACCGCACUGAGAUUUCAUCUCACUCCUGAAAGAAUGGCCAGGAUCAAGAAAACCAGCAACAACAAAUGCUGGAGAGGCUGUGGGGAAAAAGGAACUCUCCUGCACUGUUGAUGGGAGUGUAGACUGGUACAACCAUUGUGGAGGUCAGUCUGGAGAUUUCUCAGAAGCCUAUGACUGGAAGCCCCAUUUGACCUAGCUAUACCACUUCUAGGUAUAUUCCCAGAAGAACUGAAAGCAUCAUACCACAGUGAUAUAUGUGCACCCAUGUUUAUAGCAGCACAACUUGUAAUAGCCAGAUCUUGGAAACAACCUAAGUGUCCAUCAACUGAGAAAUGGAUAAAAAAGUUGUGGUAUUUUUGUACAAUGGAGUACUACUCAGCUAUAAGGAAUGAUCACAUUGAGAUGUUUAUAAAUAAAUGGACGCAGCUUGAGACCAUACUCAUAAGUGAAAUAAAUCAAACUUACAUGUAUAAAUACUGAAUAGUUUCCCUAGUGUAAGAAAUGAUAAGAAUAUAUAAAAGUAUGUGGUAAUUAUAAUUCUCAGUCACACUGGUUUGAAGCCAUAUAAUGUUUUCUCUCAUUAAUUGGAGUGGUUUUAAUCUGGGUUGCUUUAUUUUAUUGUCUGUGAUACUACGAAUAGCUAUUUUGAAGAAAAUAAGACAGCAUAAUAGCUAGUGCUGUUUUAAUAUCAUCCUGUUUUGAAGCCCCAUCGAGUUGUUGUUCAUCUGUUUCCAUUGGUUUUAACAUGUUGUAUCUUAUUAUAUUUUAAUGUAUGCGAUAGUAUAAGCAAAAUUUUUUAUAGGCAAAGAGAUAAUAUAGAAACCGAUGUUUGGUUUCUGUUAGCUGGUUCUAAAUACCCUGCAAUACUUUCAUUCUCUUGAAUGGUUUCACACUGUCUUGAUAAGUUUGAUGCUAUAGUAUAUGCAGUUAGAUUCAAAUAUUUCAAGGAAAGAGACACUAUGGUCACUACUAUUAAUGUCAGGCUAUCUGGUGGUGAAACACAAUGAUGCUUAAAUUGUUCAGUUCUGACCGGUGUUGUUCUAUUGAUAUGUUCUUUUUUAUCUCAAUCUCCCCCCUUUUUCUUUUUUUAAAAAUUAAUUUAUUUCUUAUUAUUUUUUAAUUAAAGGAAAACUAAAUUAAAAAUAGCAGGAUAUAUUAUAGUAACUUUUUUGUUUUCCUAUUAACCUAAUUUGAACCCCUGUAUUGUUUUCCACAUCUUGUUCUGACUAAUUUUAUUAUAUUCUGUUUUGUUUAAUAGUAUCAAAUUUGAGGGUAUAGGCAACCACUUUGAAGGCAACCAUAUAUUCUAUGAUGCCCAUUAUUGUUUGACUAUUAUCUUCUUUGGAAGUCCUGGAAGGUCUCCAAUGUGAGUUUUAUUGGUCUUGCUCUGUACUGUGUUGUUCAAUGCUUAUAUACCAGCUGAUAUAGGCAACUCUUUUUAGGAUAAUAAGAGGCAUAAUGGUAACCAUUGUUGGUCACCUAGUAAUCUCUUUUUACAUUAUAUACUAUGUCCAUCCUCCUGUUCUAACUGACUCUGUUUUGCUUUGUCACAUUGGGUUUUUCUUUGUUCUGUUUUUUUUUUGUUUCUUUUUUUUUUUUCUUUUCCUCUUCAAAGAAAAAGUUAUAAGAACUGUGGGAGUAAUGGAAACCAAAAUGUGUGAUUGUUAGUGUAAAAAAGAGAGGAAAGAAAGUGAUCUAAAGGAUAUAACUGCAAGUAUAUUUAAGUUUGUAACUCAUAUUUUUGUUGAGUUUUUGUUGGAUCAUUGAACAGAACUGUCUGUAAUCUCACUGUAUUAAUGUCCACUUUGUAUGCUUUAAUUUUGUAACCUGGACAACUGUUUCUGAGAUGACAAUAUGUAAUCUAUUAACUAGUGAAUUCUUACUGUAUAUUUUUUCUCUUGAAAUUCUGUAUUACUUGUAGCCUUUUACUGUUUUGUUUUGUUUUUCUCUUUAGAUUAAAAAAAAGUUAAUACAAAUCAAGAUAGUAUUAAAGCAGUCAAAACAAUAGAAUGAGAGCCUUAAGAGCAAAUACUUGCUUAGGAUUAGAUUCACAUUUGGCAACUUUAGGUCCUCAUAGGACAACUGAUAGAUAAGAUCAUUAAUGGGUAUUAUCUGCUAUUUUUGGUUACUUGUAAAACCUAUUUUCAGUUAAAAGCAUAUUGUACUCAAAUAGGGGGUUUGUGUGGUGCCAGGGAUUGGGAGGAUGUCUCUUGUCACCAUGGCAACAAGUAUUUGCAUUUAAGAGCAGGCUCCUCAGGUCACAUUACAGUCACACAGCUUGGAGGGACCCUUAUGAAGCCCUUGUAAUCUUUUCCUAAGCUUGGUAGUUAACAUUUUGGAACCUAAUCAUUAACCAUGUUCUGUAACAGAUAAUUACUCACUGUGGUUAGCAUUUUCUAUCCUUGAGUGCUUUCUGAAAUGCAGGGAGCACAAGACAUUCUCAGGCAUUUGUUCCUUUACCUAAGUAAAAUAAAAUAAUUGGACUUUUCCUGUAAAUCUGGGAAAGGUUGCAUUUUCUGCAAAAGGAUUGUGGUGAUGGAGUGUGUCUGUCACUGCUACCCUGGAGGCUAUGUUUUCCUUAUCUUGUAGACCACAGAAGCAGCUGCCUCACUCCCUGGGGUUCCCUUUUCUGUGUGUUUCCCCUUCCUCCCAGAGAUGGCUGCAUCCCCAUUAGACUUCUGCUGCCAAUUUGUUCUGUGGAAUCAUUGGACUCAUUUGCCAGGACCUAUAAGGUGUUUUCUCCUGCUAACAGAAAUGUCCCUUUGUCACCUGACCUUCCUUUCCCUGACUGAAUAUUUGUGUUAAGACCAGAAAUUCAUGUUUCCUCAUCUGCCUAGCAUGUCAGUCAGCACUUACUAGAUAGAACACAGGAUAUACAAGUAUAAAAGAAUCUACAAGAUUGACCUACAAUGGCCCCCCAUAGAGUCAGUCAUGGAAGAUACAGAGAGUGUCUACACAGUGGAGACUGAAGGAUUUGGCUGAAGGUCUGGAGCUUGCUGCAGUGUCCUGUGCAAGCCUGUAUCAGGAGGCUGAUGCGUCUGUGAUGGAAGGUAGAAGCAUCUGUGCUGGAAGCCAAGAGAUGAUAUCCAAUUGAAGGUGAAGACUGGAGCUCCUCCAAAGCACAGAAGAGGAUCCAUCCUUCUUCAUCUCCCUUUUAUACUAUCCAAGUGACAGACAAUCACUUUAGGGAAUUCUCUUACUCAAAUUGAUAUAAUCAGUCAAUCUUCACAUCCAGGUAAAUUUCUCUUGCCCAAGGGGGAACCACCUUUUCCAAGUUUCCCUACCCUGUUGUAUUUUUGAGGUAUACACUCAGUGUUUCUGGAGAGCUAGAGAAAAUGAAUGUUAAGAAUACAUGAAAAAAAAAUAGGACAACUCUGAUAAACUGUAAUAGAGGUUGAUCUUAAAAACAUCUUUCCAAGUUUGUAGAUGAAGUAUUACACUCUAUGUUCCCAUUGUUAUAUAGGUAGGAUGCAGACUCAGUAUGAUAAUAAAGAGUGCUCAACUGUCUUAAAUGUUUGCUGGUUGGAGGGCCUGAAUCCUACAGUUGGUGCCUGGGACUGCGCUGUCCUGGGCAACAGGGAGAGAGUAGUAAGAAAACGUGAAUCACACAGUACUCCCUGCCCUUGCUCCUCUUUGUUUGUGGAUAGAAUUUGGCCAAAAUGAACUUUCCAAAUUACAUGGGUACCGUGUUCUCUAAACGCUGAAUCAGGACCCACAGCAAAGCCAUCACACAUGUUGGUGAUGGAAUCAGUGCCUGCAAGCUCAUGUGACUGAAGGAAGCAGUCAAAGCUUUACUCUGAAAGGGAAAAUGCUCAGAAGAGUCAAAAGAUGAGUUUGCUGGAUGAAGGGUGUAGAGGGGCCCAGGAGGUCCUGUUCCAUGCUGAGUGCAUACAUAGAGAUCCAUUGUGAUAUAUUACCAUAACCAAUCAUGUAUAUGUAAAAUUUAAUAUACUCAUGAAAGGGUACACAUACGUAUUUAUGAGCCACUCAAGUCUUUCAAACAGCAGCUGGCUGGGCUGCCUCUAUUCUUCGAUUUGAUUUUAGCUCUAGCAGCUUGGCUUCUACAGCAUUAGAGCUUUCUCCAUGCUCCUCCCUAAAAGAGAAUGGGACCAGUCCCCUGUGAGUGCACUCCAGGCCAAGCUAUUAUAAUGAGGUCCUUUGUGACUUAGAAGCCAAUGGGCUUCCACUAUGAACACCCAACACUGAAACUACACAUUUUUCUCUCUCAGUUAGACAUCCUUUUAUUUAAUAUGUGCGUACCUUAUUAGCAGUAGGCAUAAAAUUGUUCCACAAAUGAGAAAAUCAUCCUGGGCUCUGAGAAUCUGGCUGUGCACAUGUGCAUGGUUAAACUCCUGGACACUGCUGUGACUGAAGGUCCUUGCAGGGUGAGGUAGUAGGCUGUGAGUGUAGACACUCCACUCCAUUUCUGAAGGCCUAAGGCAGAGGAAAUUCUUGACCUAUAGAAUAUAAUUAUCACAAUUGGAAGGUGGCCAUGACUGCCUGUUCUUAUACACAGUAGAGUAUUUUGAGAAUUUUCCUUGUCAUAAUCAAUUGGAUGUGAUUUUUAGGGAUGUGUACUAGGGUAGAAAGACAACAUCUGGCUGUUUGGCUGAUUCAUUGUUCUGCAUUAAUUUGACUCUUUUUGGUUAAAGCCCAGGUGGUGACAAGCUCAUUUAGAGUCUCUCUGCCUGUCUCAUGUCAGCCCAGGAAUAUUCCAAAGCAAUGUGCUGUUUAUUAUACGGUGUGAGUUGCUGGCCAGCCAGUUGGAUCAAAUCAAUAUGUGGAAGCCUUAUUCAUUGGCAAAAUUAAUAGUCAGGAGGCAGCUUAUCCACACCAGUGCAGUGCCUGCAGGAUGAGCUGCUCUGGCCCUUGAUUUGCUGCAGUCAAACAAUAAUCCCAUUGUAAACAUCAACCAGGGAGGUGGGGUCCUUAGGGCACUGUCAAGCUCUGUGCUGAUAUCCAUCCAUGAGCUGAUUAAAUCUGCACUAAUCACAGGCCCAGUGCAGGUGCCAUCAGUGCCCCUGGAUAUCACUAAGAGGAUCAAUUGCUUUGGUUUGGAAAAAUGAAUGCAUUUCCAUCACUGAUGGAAGCAAUUACCUGGUAACCAUGUCCUUGUACCUCAUUAUUAUCUUUUAAUUAGCACUGAGGAUCACAUUCCAACCACAACCCUGUUCAUAUUCUGUUCAAGUGCAUGCAAACAAAGAGACAGAAUCUCCUUAGGUAGACUAAUAUGAAACUCCUUUCAGUGGGUCUACAAAACUUGACAUCAGUGGUGCCUGUGGCCUGAACAGUCUCUCCUCCCUUCCUUUCAAGCUCUGUGCUCUUCUGAUGCUGUCUGUCUUUCCUGCUCUAGGACUUGUGUUUGGGAGCCUGUGUUUGGAACAUUUUGUCCCCAGUCUACCUCACCUAUUUGCAUGUACGACUCUUUUGUGUCACUCAUAUCUCAGUUGGAUAUCACCGUCCCAUGACAACUUACUGACCACCACUAGUAAGGUCUUGCUUUCUUGUUGUGCAUUACAUCAUGCUAGCUGAUCACCUUAAUUCUCCUUACCAACAUCUGAACAAGCUGUUUUUCUGUGAUGUUGUUUCCCUAAAUUCACCACGAUACCCUUAGCCACUGGCACCUGGUCUGGUGCACAGUGCUGCUUACCAAAAUCCGCUGAGUGAAUGAUUGUCUCUGUCCAUGAAUGAGUGGGUGAAUGGAGGCUUCAAGGGGAAGAGCCCUUCAUUGGAGGACAUGGGUGCAUCUUGUCAGGACUCUUCCUGGACACAUCAAGGGGAUGGGCAAGUUACCAAGCUUACUGGGUUAACUGAUCCCCCAGGACUCCUGAGCUCUGAAACAUUUCCAAAUGUUUGUUCUAGUUGAGAAAGGAACAGGUUGGGGCAUGAGUAUUUUCUAGUAUGAACACUAGAUUUUUCAUCUUGCAGGGAAGCAAGCCACAGAUAUUUGCCUAGGAUGAGAUGGAACUACCUCUCAGGCACCAAUGUGCAAAUCACUGAGAAGCUUCCACAGGACUUAGCACACACUGGUCAGGAUUCCCAUCUUGGAGACUGGCUUUCUCUUUGGUGACCAGUGGUCCAAUAAAUACUAACAGGCCAGUAAAACAGAAUAUUGAUAAGUCAGUACCCUAUAGUCUGUCAUAGAAUAGUUUCUUCCUAGAUCUCAAGGUUUCUCUCUGAGGGCUGAUGAAAGGUUCCAAGGCAAAGGAGACUCUUCCAGUGAGCUUAGGUAACAGGUCCUUGUGUCCCUGCCCUGAGGGAAGAGGGCUGCCUUUGUCCUGCUCUGUGGAAACCCUCACCUCUUGCUCUUGCACAGCAUCUGCAGGCUCAGUAAGCUAAGUAAGCACAUUCCACAAGUUGAGCUAUCUACCCAGAGCCUGGCUUUAAAAGGCACUGCACCUCAGAAGGUUUACUGGACCCAUCCAGGACGAGAGGGAACAAAGUGCGGCAUGCAGAGUCUCUGGUAUUCCACUUGCAGGCACAUUUCCAGAAGAACUGAAAACAUACCACAGUGAUAUAUGUGCACCCAUGUUUAUAGCAGCAUUAUAAUAGUCAGAUCUUGUAAAUAACCGAAGUGUCCAUUAAAUACGGAAUGGAUAAAAAAGUUGUGAUAUUUUUAUACAAUGGAGUACUACUCAGCUAUAAAGAAUGAUCACAUUGAGAAAUCUAUAAGUAAAUGGAUGCAACUUGAGACCACACUCAUAAGUGAAAUAAAUCAAACUCACAUAUGUAAAUACUGUGUAGUCUCCCUAGUAUAAAAAAUGGCAAGCGUACCUAAGAUAUAAAAUACUCAAUAAGUACAGUAAAAGGUUAAGAAUCUGUUUAAAGGGGAAAAAUAAUAUCUCAGGGAAAAUGAGGAAGAAGAAAAAUGAAGGGAAAAGAAAAAAUAUCUAAAAUUAGGUAAACACACAGGAUAAUUAAGAUGAUCAUGCUACAAAUUCUACAAGUUCUUAGAACAAAAUGCUAACAUUCGUAGGAUUGGAACAACCGUGCAUAUUAUUGUAUGGUGAUCUGAGGAACUUUUGAAGAUCAUUAUGUAAAAAUAUCAACCUUAGUUAUGCUCCUACCACCUUGAUUUGAAGGCCUGUAUUUUCAGUGUUUUGGGCUCUUUGCUAUUGGUAUCUAUUUAUCUUUUUUGUUUCAUGUUUUUCUAGGAAUUUGUUUUGUUUUUCCCUUUAAUACAGAAAGGAUAGGUACACAUGUAGAUUCUCAUACAUGCAUACAACUUCUCCUAAACAGUUUAUGAGAAUUGAUUAUAUAAUUCAUGAUGAAAUGAAUAGCUACUUUGAAGAAAGAGACACUAAGGUACCCAGUGCUGAUCGCAUAGUAGCAUAUUAUCAUGCUGUGAAAUCCAGAAAUACUAUUGUUAUUUGUUCAGAGUGAUUGUAGUCUGUUUUGUAUUGUUUAAUUUCAACAUACAUAAAGAUAUGGACAGCUACUUUGAAGAGAAUGAGAGAUAUUAUGGCAGCCACUAUUAACUUUCUUUUUGUCUGGUUUUGCAGACCUAAAAUGCCUUCAUUAUCCUGUUCUGAUCAGUUUAAUACUAUUUUGUUUUGUAUGGACUCAUUGUGUGUGAAGAUAUGGACAACUAUUUAGAAAAAAACAAGAGACAAAAUGAUGGUGAAGAUCUGUUUUUGUCUUGCUUUGAAAUCUGUGUCUCUUACAUUGUUUUCUUCUGAUCUGCUUUGUUCUGUUUUGUUCUGUUUAAUUUUACCCUCUUUAAAAUAAAAUUUAAAAAAUAAAAAGAAUACCUUAUAAACAA